rnacentral:lncRNA from 1 species
UAUGUGCAGAUACCACAGAGACAGAUGCUGGGGACCAGCCUCCCAUGGAAACCUCACAGCCUGGCAGUGGCAGUGCAAAUCUAUGUUUGGAGCUGGCUUUGUGGCAGGGCCAGCAGACCAAAACGGAAAGAAAAAAAUCGGGAUUUCCCUACAAUUUCUGUGUGGCAGGAGCCCCUUUUCUUCUACACAGUUCUCAAUUCAGCCUGCUUUUAAGUGAAAGCCAGAAGAUAAAGGAGGAAAAAAGAAACAAGGAAACUGAAACUUAUUGGUCCAUAAAAGCCCUGGGCUCAGCCAGAGCAGGGCAGACGAUGGCCAAAGGACGAAGAGGAUAGACAGACUACACAAGGACCAGCUGCAGAAAGGAGCUACCGUCUCUGCCGAGAGCUUCAGAGACAACCUGCCAGCAGACAGGAGGCACCCUCUCCAGGGCCUCCUCUCCACUGAGAGCUGCAGACAUUGGGACAACCAGUAGUAGAGAGGAGCUACCCUCUCCAGGGCCACCUCUCUAAUGAGAACUGAAUGCUGGACAGAUGAUCUUCCUACAGAGAGGAGCUACCCACUGUGGGUCUCCUCUGAGCUCUUGUAACACUUAAUAAAGCUCAUCUUCGUCUCGUUCACCCUUCACUUGUCUGCGUACCUCAUUCUUCCUGGAUGCAGGACAAGAAUUCGGGCAAAGGUGCUGUGGCCACAGAGGUUUCUGGCCAGGAAAUUGACAACCCAAAACUCCCUGACAAUAACAUGAUGAAAUGUAGCUUAUUGAGGGAAUGAAACACUUGAAAAUCAAUCACUGUAAUACACAUAUCAAUAAAUCAGAAGAAAAACAAUAUGAUCAUCUUCAUAGAUACAGAAAAAGCAUUUGACAAAAUGCAACAUUCACUUAUGAUAAAAAGUCUAAGCAAAUUAGAAAGUAAACUUCCUUAACUUGCUAAAGGGCAUCUUUAAAAAUCUACUGCUAACUUCCUAAUUGUUGUUGAAAUUUCCCUCAUAAAUAGGAAAUAAAUCAAGGAUUUUUGCUUUUGCCACUCCAACUCAAUAUUGUAGUGGCGGUCUUAGCCAGUGCAAUA